CUAGUAACUGCGAGUGAAGCGGGAAAAGCUCAAAUUUGAAAUCUGGCAGUCUUUUUUUUCUUCUUUGGCUGUCCGAGUUGUAAUCUAGAGAAGUGCUUACCUGCACUGGACCAUGUAUAAGUCUCCUGGAAUGGAGCGUCACAGAGGGUGAGAAUCCCGUCUUUGACAUGGACUGCCAGUGUGUUGUGGUGUGCUCUCAAAGAGUCGAGUUGUUUGGGAAUGCAGCUCUAAAUGGGUGGUAAACUCCAUCUAAAGCUAAAUAUUGGCGAGAGACCGAUAGUGAACAAGUACCGUGAGGGAAAGAUGAAAAGGACUUUGGAAAGAGAGUUAAACAGUAUGUGAAAUUGUUGAAAGGGAAACGCUUGAAGUCAGUUAUGUUGGCUUAGGGAUCAACCUAGCUAUUUUUUGCUGGGUGAAUUUCCUAGUCUGACAGGCCAACAUCAGUCUUGACUGCUGGAAAAGAGCAGAGGGAAUGUGGCACCUUUGGGUGUGUUAUAGCCCUUUGUCAUAUGUAGCAGUUGGGACUGAGGGAUGCAGCGUGCCGUGAGGCUGGGUUUUGACCACGUUCACGCUUANGAUGCUGGCUUUUAAUGGCUUCAAUCGACCCGUCUUGAAACACGGACCAA
rnacentral:rRNA from 1 species